AAAAACCACGUCUCCGGCGACCAUAUUUAUCUCCGGCCCUGCUUAAACACCCCGACUGGCCGGCGGUGUGAUUAGAGGAAGGAGGAGGAGGAGGAGAUGAUCGCUACCUCGAGCCUCGACCGUGUGGUCGAGGCGAUGGCGCCACUCUACGCCGCCAUGACCCUUGGCUACGCCGCCGCCCGGUGGUGGCACGCCCUCACCCCCGACCAAUGCGCCGGCAUAAACCGCUUUGUCUCCGUCUUCGCCAUCCCGCUCCUCACCUUCCAACUCCUCUCCUCCAACGACCCCUACGCCAUGAACCCCCGCUUCCUCGCCGCCGACUCCUUCCAAAAGCUUCUCCUCCUCACCAUCCUCUUCAUCUGGGCCCGCCUCCGCCGCCGCCCCGCCUCCGGCGGCUCCUCCUCCUCCCUCCCCUGGGUCAUCACCAUCUUCUCCCUCGCCACGCUCCCUAACACUGUCAUCAUGGGCAUCCCCCUCCUCCGCGGCAUGUAUGGACCUCAGACCGAUUCCCUCAUGGUUCAGAUCGUCGUCCUCCAAGCCGCCGUAUGGUACAAUCUUGUCAUCUUCCUUUACGAGUACAUGGCCGCCCGCUGCGCUGCAACGGAAGGAUGCCAAACGAAUGCUUCGGUCCCGACGACCCUACCGGUCUCGGAGAAAGAGGCUGCUAUUGCUGCCGCCAAUGGGUCGGUGGAAGGAGGAGAAGGGGAGACGAAGCCGCCACCAUCCCCGCCGUCGAUGUGGCGUAUCCUUACGGUGGCUGGGAGGAAGCUUUGUAGGAUCCCAAACACUCACGCCAGCUUUCUUGGCCUCAUCUGGUCUUUCAUCGCUUUCGGGUUUGGAAUCAGAAUGCCUAAAAUUAUUCAUGACUCGGUAACAAUACUAUCUAGCACGGCCAUCGGAUUGAGCAUGUUCAGCAUCGGCACAUUUAUGGCUAGACAGACAAGAUUUAUAUCAUGUGGCUAUUCUGUUGCAGCCUUUGCCAUGGUUGUCAAAUUCCUUGUUGGUCCUUCUAUCAUGAUUGCAACUUCACUUUCUGUUGGACUACAAGGUCUGCUUCUACGAGUAGCUAUUAUCCAGGCUGCUCUUCCCCUUGCAGUUCUUUCAUUUGUUUACGCCAAGGAGUACAAUGUGCAUCCAGAAGUCAUGAGCACUGCGUUGGAGCUUGAAACUCUUAGCUUCAUAGUUCAUUGUUAUCAUUGUCCUACACUUGCAAUUUAUAAUUUUCUGUUUCAUAAUGCAGGGUUAUUCUCGGGAUAUUAUCAUCUGUUCCUAUCACAAUCCUCUAUUACAUGAUAUUAGGGUUAUGGAAGUGAAGAGAGAGAAACUCAUCACCACCUUGCAACAAUCCUGAGGAAGUGUGACAGUGCGGUAUUCAGGCUAUCUAUCCAUUCAGUUCUGAUUUGAGACGCUCCUUUUCUGUUAUUCUGGUUUUUUCUCAUCUUACUCAUCAAUUAACAACCAAACAUGGUUAUGUUCUUGUGAUGUUGGCUAGGAAUUUAUUACCAGUGGUUUAUUCAAGAACUCGAUCUCAGUCAUGCUUCAAAAUUCCAUAUACCUUCUUUAGUUUGUGGAUUGUCCAUACCAUGGUGAAAGGUUGAGUUUUUAAAGCUUUAAUUUCAAUCAGUUCGAACGUUUGUAAUUGCAGAUAUCAGUUUCUCAAAUCAAAUCUAGAUUGCAGUUGGCGCCCUCAAA